CGGGAAUACUGCGCAGGCUCGGGCGGCCGGCGCUCGUCGCACAAUUGCUCGCUCCUUCUCUGAGCCGAGAGGCUGAUCUGCCGCCAUGUCCUAUCCGAUUGAGGAUUAUGACAACGAGGUUGCAUAUGAUCCCUAUGCUUACCCAGGCGACUAUGACAUGCACACAGGAGACCCGAAGCAGGACCUGGCCUAUGAACGCCAGUAUGAGCAGCAGACCUAUCAAGUGAUUCCAGAAAUGAUCAAGAACUUUAUCCAGUAUUUCCAUAAAACCGUCUCCGACCUUAUUGACCAGAAAGUUUAUGAGCUUCAGGCAAGCCGGGUGCCCACUGAUGUCGUUGACCAGAAAGUCUAUGAGAUCCAGGAAAUUUAUGAGAACAGCUGGACCAAGCUAACUGAAAGGUUCUUCAAGAAUACCCCCUGGCCAGAAGCGGAGGCCAUUGCCCCACAAGUUGGCAACGAUGCCGUCUUCCUGAUCCUGUAUAAGGAGCUUUAUUACAGACACAUCUAUGCCAAAGUCAGUGGUGGGCCUUCCUUGGAACAGAGGUUUGAAUCCUACUACAAUUACUGCAACCUUUUCAACUACAUCCUCAAUGCCGAUGGCCCUGCCCCCCUCGAGCUGCCCAACCAGUGGCUGUGGGAUAUCAUCGAUGAAUUCAUCUACCAGUUUCAGUCAUUCAGCCAAUACCGAUGCAAGACGGCCAAGAAGUCAGAAGAAGAGAUCGACUUUCUGCGUUCCAACCCCAAGAUCUGGAACGUCCACAGCGUCCUGAACGUGCUACACUCUCUGGUAGACAAGUCCAAUAUCAACCGGCAGCUGGAGGUCUACACCAGCGGAGGUGACCCCGAGAGUGUGGCUGGCGAGUACGGUCGGCACUCCCUCUACAAGAUGCUCGGCUACUUCAGCCUGGUGGGGCUGCUCCGGCUGCACUCCCUCUUGGGGGAUUACUACCAGGCCAUCAAGGUGCUGGAGAACAUCGAGCUUAACAAAAAGAGCAUGUAUUCGCGGGUCCCCGAGUGCCAGGUCACCACCUAUUACUAUGUGGGCUUCGCCUAUCUGAUGAUGCGCCGGUACCAGGACGCCAUCCGCGUCUUUGCCAACAUCCUGCUCUACAUCCAGAGGACCAAGAGCAUGUUCCAGAGGACGACGUACAAAUACGAGAUGAUCAACAAGCAGAACGAGCAGAUGCACGCCCUGCUGGCCAUCGCCCUGACCAUGUACCCCAUGCGCAUCGACGAGAGCAUCCACCUGCAGCUGCGGGAGAAGUACGGGGACAAGAUGCUGCGCAUGCAGAAGGGCGACCCGCAGGUCUACGAGGAGCUCUUCAGCUACUCCUGCCCCAAGUUCCUGAGCCCCGUGGUGCCCAACUACGACAGCGUGCACCCCAACUACCACAAGGAGCCCUUCCUGCAGCAGCUGAAGGUGUUCGCGGACGAGGUGCAGCAGCAGGCCCAGCUCUCCACCAUCCGCAGCUUCCUCAAGCUCUACACCACCAUGCCCGUGGCCAAGCUGGCCGGCUUCCUGGACCUCACCGAGCAGGAGUUCCGCAUCCAGCUGUUGGUCUUCAAGCACAAGAUGAAGAACCUGGUGUGGACGAGCGGCAUCUCGGCCCUGGACGGCGAGUUCCAGUCGGCCUCCGAGGUGGACUUCUACAUCGACAAGGACAUGAUCCACAUUGCCGAUACCAAGGUGGCCCGCCGCUACGGAGACUUCUUCAUUCGGCAGAUCCAUAAAUUUGAGGAGAAGCCUUUCAGGAGGACUCGGGCAAUAGGCGGUGGCCUUCCAAAUCCAUGAGCCCUCCUCACACGGCUGCUCCGUGUCACAGUGGCCUCCUUAGACCAGACAGCUCAAUCGAACCCUAAAGAAGAUGGGCCAGAGACCCUGAGCGUGUACCGUCUCUCACCACAUUUAUCCAGAAUUCCUGCGGACAGAUGACCAGGCAGCAGAACACGUUUUCCGUCUUGUAGUGUCCAGACCAGCAGGCCUUCCUUGCUGGGGUCGAACAUUUCAAUAAAUCCCAGGAAGAGAUCUUC